CUAGCCAAUGAGGAUUCAGCAGGUUGUCAUAGAGAUGGAGAGUAGAAGGAAAAAAAGGGGGAAGGGUGAGCACGAGGCAGCAGGAGGUUGUAAGUUCGCUGCCUAGUCAGCUAAAAGUUUCUCCACAAGAGAUAUAUGUUAGUUUUGAGUUUAUUAAGUGGGUAAAAACCUCGGGCAGAAUGUUUGUCUAUACCUUUUUGGAGUGAGCUGGACUUUAUAUGCCCCACCCCGGGUCAGUGUUUCUGCUCGAAAUCUGGAAUUGACGAGUCUGCUAGCUGGCUAAGUUAGCUGCGUGGAGCUAAAGGGUCUGCGUAACUCUGCACAAGAGCAACGUUCCCCUUUGAACUGUAAAGUAAGGUCAGUUAUAACUGUGAGAUAUUGUCAACAGCAAGAGUCGACAGAGUUCAUCCCCGGUGGAACUAAGGACAACUCUUUUAACUACAUGUAUGCUGCUGAACUGAGAGAGAGAUGCUGGCUAGUGAGCUGCGGAGCUCUGCUACUGCUGAACCGAGAGAAGGUGCGGAGCUGUGCUGCUGCUGGACCGAGAGAAGGUGCGGAGCUGUGCUGCUGCUCCUGAACCGAAAGAAGGUGAUUCCUGGGAUGUCGUCAAAUCAAGUCCCGAACUAAAGGGCUGUGGUCGAGAAGAACAUCAAGCCGCAACAAAAUACAACAAGGAAUCCUAUCACAUUUAAUAAACAUACUUCAAUCAUUCUGUCUGAAUACUGUCAUAUAUCUUCCUAGGACAUACCGUAUCUCCUUACCAAUGGAUCUACUACCCUGUCACUCGAAGAAGAUAUAAGAGAAGAUGAGCAGCAGUACAACAGAUCGAUGGAGAGGCCUGAAGGUCGUGAGCCGAUUUGGGCCUCCUGUGUUGCAGAUUAGCGAAUAGCUAAGAGCAGACAGGCAGACAGACAGGCGGGAGGUGAUAACAGGACCUGUCAUUUAGUGUUAAUAACAAACGCAGGCGUAAACACAAAGUCAAUCUCUCAUUCAUUCCCUCUCUCUCUUUCACUAUCACUCUCACUCACGAUAAACUCAUACACAAAGGAACACCCAGAUUGAGAAGGAUUAUCAGUAGAGCAGUGGUGAUGGCUUAUUGCCCGCUGGCCAGACCGUUGAUAGCCAUAUGCGAUUGGACAGAGGAGAUUAUUCCAUGUGCAAAUAUGACACAGAUAGUGUUCAUGUCACUUAGUUGGUUUCUAUGCUGCUUUAAACAGGUAUGGGAAUAGACCUGACCCCGUUUCAAAGAUUUAGGACCUUUUCACACCUGUAGUUGUUUUUUAUGGUCAGAAUCAAUUGAUAAGUUUGUUAACUUUGAGUGUUUCUCCCUCUGUUUGGUUUAGUUUCACACAGGCACAAACCUAAACGCAUUAAAAUAUGCACCAAUAAACCACAUUAGCAUGUUCUGUCCUCUGAUUGGUCAGAGCUGUCUGGUGCGGGAGCAAGAAAGUUAAUAUAACGAGAAGAUUCUGUGUUCCAGAACAUUCUG